rnacentral:rRNA from 1 species
AGCAUAUCAAUAAGCGGAGGAAAAGAAACCAACAGGGAUUGCCCUAGUAACGGCGAGUGAAGCGGCAACAGCUCAAAUUUGAAAUCUGGCUCUUUUAGGGUCCGAGUUGUAAUUUGCAGAGGGCGCUUUGGCGUUGGCAGCGGUCCAAGUUCUUUGGAACAGGACGUCACAGAGGGUGAGAAUCCCGUACGUGGUCGCUAUCCUUCGCCGUGUAAAGCCCCUUCGACGAGUCGAGUUGUUUGGGAAUGCAGCUCUAAAUGGGAGGUAAAUUUCUUCUAAAGCUAAAUAUUGGCCAGAGACCGAUAGCGCACAAGUAGAGUGAUCGAAAGAUGAAAAGCACUUUGGAAAGAGAGUCAAAUAGCACGUGAAAUUGUUGAAAGGGAAGCGCUUGCAGCCAGACUUGCCUGUAGUUGCUUAUCCGGACUUUUGUCCGGUGCACUCUUCUAUAGGCAGGCCAGCAUCAGUUUAGGCGGUUAGAUAAAGGUCUCUGUCACGUACCUCUCUUCGGGGAGGCCUUAUAGGGGAGACGACAUGUAACCAGCUUAGACUGAGGUCCGCGCAUCUGCUAGGAUGCUGGCGUAAUGGCUGUAAGCGGCCCGUCUUGAAACACGGACCAAGGAGUCUAACAUCUAUGCGAGUGUUUGGGUGUCAAGCCCAGACGCGUAAUGAAAGUGAACGGAGGUAGGAACCCUUUGGGUGCACUAUCGACCGAUCCUGAUGUCUUCGGAAGGAUUUGAGUAAGAGCAUGGCUGUUGGGACCCGAAAGAUGGUGAACUAUGCUUGAAUAGGGUGAAGCCAGAGGAAACUCUGGUGGAGGCUCGCAGCGGUUCUGACGUGCAAAUCGAUCGUCAAAUUUGGGCAUAGGGGCGAAAGACUAAUCGAA